GAUGAACGCUAGCUACAGGCUUAACACAUGCAAGUCGAGGGGAAACGGCAUCGAAAGCUUGCUUUUGAUUGGCGUCGACCGGAGCACGGGUGAGUAACGCGUAUCCAAGCUGCCCACCAUUUGGGGAUAACCUUGCUAAAGUACGGCUAAGACCCAAUGAUAUCUCUAGAAGACAUCUACAAGGAAUUAAAGCUUUAUCGGUGAUGGAUGGGGAUGCGUCUGAUUGGCUUGUUGGCGGGGUAACGGCGGACCAAGGCGACGAUCAGUAGGGGGUCUGAGAGGAAGGUCCCCAACAUUGGAACUGAGACACGGUCCAAACUCCUACGGGAGGCAGCAGUGAGGAAUAUUGGUCAAUGUGCGAGAGCCUGAACCAGCCAAGUAGCGUGCAGGAUGACGGCCCUAUGGGUUGUAAACUGCUUUUAUAAGGGAAUAAAGUGGGAGUCGUGACUCCUUUUGCAUGUACCUUAUGAAUAAGGACCGGCUAAUUCCGUGCCAGCCGCCGCGGUAC
rnacentral:rRNA from 1 species